rfam:Schistosoma mansoni strain Puerto Rico chromosome 2, complete genome
GCACUGAUGAGGGGUCCCAAAAUGGGACGAAACGGCCGUCCAGUGC